UCUCCCAAAAUCAAAACUCCGUCUCCGUGUUGAAUCAGCCGACUUUUUUAUUUCGUCUCCUCCGUCUAGUUCCCCAUCUCCGCCCACCACGAAAGCAGAAUCACCGCCGACGAAAACCGAUCUUCCUUCGAGCUCGAGCGCUACAACGAGAUCCCCAUUUCUCCUCCUCCAUCAAGCCACCUCCUUCCCCCAACUCAGGUUCAGCGUCCUCUCCCCCAAAUUCGGCUACAAGUCUCCGCGGACGAGCUCGUGGUCGAAGGCUUGUUUGCAAGAUGGAGAUAUAUUGGACAAUUUCAGUUAUUGUACAUGUUCUUGUGAUCAUUUGAAUUCUUAAAGAGAAUGGACCUAUAUUACACGAACAUUUUCCCCUCAAGUUUCUAGAAGAUGCAAGGAUGCACUUAUUCUGUUCUUGACUCCUGAAUCCAACAACUUGGUUUUCCUCUGGUCACUUAUUCUGUUGGACGUAAACAAAUCAGGUCCACAUUGUGAAAGUUGUGGGUGAAUGCUUUUGAUAUCAGUUUGUGAGAUGUGGUUGGGUUUUAUGUAUGUACUUUUGUUAAUCUUGACAUCAGUUUGUGAGUAAGUGGUGGGUUUUAUGUAUGUACUUUUGAUAUCAGUUUUAUGUAUGUACUUUUGUUAUACUACCAAUAUCGCUUGUGACAGGUGAGUGAUUUCCAUGAAAUUGUAGUUGGGAUGUUGCUUUUGUUAUACUACAUGUACUAAAAUUGGA